GAAAAUUCCAACAAAACUAUAAUGUAUAAUCUCAUAGUCAAUAUUUGUUCCCCUUUCCACUUUUUUUCCUCUUUAUAUCCCUUCCAUUUCCUUCAUUUUUUUUCUUCUAACUAUCCCUAAAGCAACUUCACUUGCUCUCUCCUACUUCUUUCUUAGCAACUUUCCCCCUUCAUAAAUCCAUUUAUAUGCUCACACACACACAUAUUUCACAAAAUUAAUUACCAAUUUUGUCAUCAUUGAAGUUUCACAAAAUGGAGAAAGUUAAAAGUAUGGAGAAAAAGAAAUUGAUUAAUGAGUUAACACAAGGGAAGGAAUUUGUAAACCAAUUGAAAAAUCAGAUAAUUGGUCCAUUAGCUUCUCCUGAGGAAUGUGAUUUACUAAUUGGGAAAAUAUUGUCUACACUUGAAAAAUCAUUAUCAAUUCUCAAUUUGAAGGCUCUUCUUCUUGAAGGUGGAAUUAAUAAUAUUAACAAUUCUACAUCUUCAUGUUCAUCGAUUUCAUUUCUUGGUAGUAGUAAUAAUAAUAUUAGUCCCAAGAGUGAAGUUUUUGAUUCUUCAAGGGAAAAAUUGGACAAAAAUAUGGUCUCCAAGAAAAGAAAGAAAACACAACAAUGGAUUAAUCAAACAAGCAUUUCUGUAAAUGGGCUUGAAGGUCCAUGUGAAGAUGGAUUUAGUUGGAGAAAAUAUGGCCAAAAAGAUAUUUUAGGGGCUAGUCAUCCAAGGGCUUAUUAUAGGUGUACUCAUAGGAACACACAGGGGUGUUUGGCUACAAAACAAGUCCAAAAAUCAGAUGCAAAUUCAACAAUUUUUGAAGUGACAUAUAAAGGAAGGCACAGUUGCAAAGUUGCACAAUCUGAAAUAUUUUCACUUAAUAACCAAAAACGCCAGAAAUGCAACAAAAAACAACAAGAAGAAAUGGUAAUAUUCAACUCUGCAACACCAAACCAUAACGCUGAAAACUUUAACAUUAUAACAGCAAAAGAUGAAGAGGUUUUCACGGCGUUCCCAUUCCCUCCUGCACCACUACACAUCGAAAAUAUUAUCGAAGAAAAUAAAUUCUUUCCAGAUUCGUCAGAGUUACCAUUAUACUUGGCGUCCCCAAAUGAUGAAUUUGGAAUGGAACACAUGAUUCUACAGAGCUCAGAUUCAGAUCUUACUGAAUUGAUAUCAACUCCGACUUCGAUUUCAAAUUCCUCAUUUGGUGGAGAAGGGGUGGAUUAUGAACCUGAAAUCACAUUUGACAUUGAAGAAUUCUUCAUUUAAUUUGAAAUUUAGAGAAUUCAUUGCAAGUUUGUAAUAGCAGGAAGUAAGUUUUGUGCAAUAAUUUUUGUUGUUAUUUUUAGCCUAAUUGAUCCUAAGCUAAAGUCAAUUGACUGAUGUUUAAGAGAAAUAGUUGUAGUAAAAUUGUAACGUCGAUGAAUUCAUGUUUGUAAUUACAAGCUUUCGCUAUUGAAAUUCAAGUUGCA
rnacentral:misc_RNA from 1 species